CAGGACGGAGGGCCGCAGGGAGCCGGGAUCACCCACAGGCGCUCGGGCUCCUCAGAGGCCGGCCCUCCAUCACAUCCCGUUCCUUUGGGCUGAAAAGACCUCAGAGAUCAUCGAGUCCAAACCCCACCCUGAUCACCCCAUCCCACCCCAGAACUGGGAAUCCCGUGCAAACCAACCUCCAUUCCCCGCUCGGCACAAACCCCCGGGCUGGGAGGGGCAGAACCGGCAGCGCUGCGGGAGCGGAACUUCCUGAGGGACCGCCCGUGCUCCGCGCACUGCCCCUGGGAGCCCCAAGCGCGUCCUCCCCUGCCAGGCCAGACUGUGAUUCCCGAGUCUCUGCCGGGCUGGAAUUGCUCCCCGGUGUCCCAAACCCACCUGCGAAGGGGACACAAGCACCGACAUUCCCUCGCUGUCCCUCUGCGCGAGUCCCCGCCUGCUCUUCCGCCCCUGAGGCGGGGCUGCCCCGCCAUCUUAGGGGCGUCCCCAUCUCCAUUCCCCGCGGUGUGUGGGUGUCUGUACUUUGGAUAUAACGUGCUCUGUCCUCGCUGUGUGGAGCUGAGGGACGAGGGAGAGGCUCCCGCGGUGCCGGAGGCUGUAAGUGCUCCUCCUGCCUGGCACUGGAAGAUAAAGAAACACCAUCCUUUUUUAAAUAUUGUUUGGGACCUUAAAGAUCAUCCAGUUCCAGCCCUUGCCGUGGUCAGGGAUACCUUGCACUAAACCAGGUUGCUCAGGUUUGGAGCCUGAAGUUUUCAGCAAAAUUUGAGCUGACCCAAUUGAAUAUUCCCAAAAGGUGGAAAGUCUUUCUGUGAGGUGUAAGUGCAGAAGAGUUUACUCCCACAAAAAGAGAAUUUAGUAUGAAAGAUUAGUCACUGAUAAUUUUUAGCUGAGACAUUUCUUUUUACCCAUCACUGGUUGGCUUUUCUUCAGAACACUUAACACCAGAUAUCUCUGUGAAUACCUCGUGUUGCCUUAGGAAUUUACACGGCUUGCACAGGAAUGUAGUUUCACAUAAUCCGAGGUGGAAUUUUAAAUAAUAUUUUAAAGAAAAAGCACUUACCUAGGGAGGCUCCACACUACUGGAAAUGUUCAAGGCCAGGUUGGAUGGGAGUGACCUGCGAUAGCAGAAGGUGUCCAUGGCAAUGAGAUAAUCUUUAAGGUUGUGAGAGUUUUAGUUGUUGGUUUCUCUGGUUUUGGAUUGAAGGCACUCAAAAUUGUGUUUCGUGUUCAGAUUUAAGAGUUUAUUAUUUGUUAUCAGUAAAACAGUCUCACUGCUGUGAGUUCUGCAGCUUUUCAUUAGAAGGCACAAAAUGGCCAACAAUCUCUUGCUCCAAGGUCUUUUAAGACUGAACUAUCCAAUUAAGAACUGACACCUGGAUUAUUUUCCCUUUUAACACAAUAGCUGAUCCUGCAGAGCUGCAGUGGGGACUUUUCUGCCCAGUUACAAAAUGCCACCCAAACCCAUGGAGAAGAAGGAAGAAGGUGAAGAAGAAAUCCAGGACAGCACCCUGUGCCCUCCAUCUUGCUGCCAUCCACAACACACUAAAAA
rnacentral:lncRNA from 1 species